rnacentral:misc_RNA from 1 species
GGGAAAGGGCUUUAUUUUUUAUUUGUGAAGGCUGAGACCAAGACGCCUGGAGGGUUGGUGGCUCGUCCAGUGCUCACUAGCUAUUACAAGAGCGAUAUCUUCAAGACUAGGCCUUAUGACCCUUACAAUGACUACACUAGCCCUAACGAGGCUGUUCUAUGCGCUGAUUCCUUUCAAAGCAUGUACACGCAAAUGUUAUGUGGCUUGUUGAUGCGUGACCAAGUCCUUCGAGUCGGUGCUGUUUUCGCCUCCGGUCUCCUCCGCGCCAUCCGCUUCCUCCAGCUCAACUGGAGACAGCUGACACACGAUAUCGCCACCGGAACCCUAAACCCUAAAAUCACGGACUCUUGUCUCCGCGAAUGCAUAACCUCCAAAUACCUUACAAACGCACAUCCGGAGCUGGCGGAAUUCAUCUCCAAGGAGUGCU